CACGUAGGGCGCGAGCGUUGUCCGGAAUUAUUGGGCGUAAAGAGCUCGUAGGCGGCCUGUUGCGUCCGCUGUGAAAGCCCGGGGCUUAACCCCGGGUCGCAGUGGAUACGGGCAGGCUAGAGGUAGGUAGGGGAGAAUGGAAUUCCCGGUGUAGCGGUGAAAUGCGCAGAUAUCGGGAGGAACACCGGUGGCGAAGGCGGUUCUCUGGGCUGUAACUGACGCUGAGGAGCGAAAGCAUGGGGGAGCGAAACAGG
rnacentral:rRNA from 1 species